GCACGUAAACGGUUGUACCGGCGUGCGGUGUCUGCCUGAACGUUGGCGUCUGUGUAUGCGUGUCUUCUUUGUGGCAUCACACGUCAACUACACUGAACGCAUACACCUGCAGCACCUUUGGGACCAAUGACACAAAGGUCAAGGCCAGCCUGGCGACCAUGCUUGCCAAGGAGUAGUGUAAAUAUUUAAUCUGUUUCCAUAGUAGCAUAAGACAUGAAUUUAAGGAAUUCAUCUAUUAUAUCGAGCAAUAAAAACGGUUAAUGCA
rnacentral:lncRNA from 1 species